AAAUAGAACUUUGCAGAGAGAGUUAAGAGGGCGUGAAACCGUUAAUUGGCAAACGAAUCGGAGCCACGAAGUCGUUUCGUUGAUAGUUGGACCGAGUUCAGUUGAUGUAACGAUACUUGCUAUCUUGCAUCGGCGCAUUCUCGAUAGUUCAACCAUUUCUGUAAGCGUACACUGCAACCAGUUAGACGAUUGUUGGUGGGCACAGUGGCUGUUGCGGGAGGUAGCGCUUGAGCCUAGUGAAUGCUGGAUACUCAAGUGUUGGCCCGUAGCAAGAGAACUACUAGCAAAUACUGACUGGCAAAAUGAAAAUCACCACUUGUGGUGUUGUAAAGACAAUGCGCUUUCGGCGCGUGCAGCUACGCGUGGCGCACGUAAGUUUUAAAGUUCGGUAUUUUUGAAUUUGGACUAGCUUGAUUUCUGAUAGGGCAACCUCCAGUGCAAGUUUAGCUUCCAUCUAAUCGGAUAUUGACUUGGCUUGCGGUAGUCGUUGCGCGAAUCGAUGGCAGCGCGCGUCAGGGAGAUUGCAAUUUGAAUUGGCAGUGAGUAGGUCGGCUUUCCGAACGACCCGUCUUGAAACACGGACCAAGGAGUCUAGUUAGGCAUCGAGUCGAUCGGUCUUGAAUAGGCCAGCUGUUUAAGCGUGCGGCGCUAGAAGGCGUAGAGAAUCAUGUGAUCUCGGCAGCAAACCCUGCUUUGAGCGCAACAUGUGCCUGCUCGUGUGCCAUUGUUGCAACGUAUGUUUUGGGCUGUUGAUGGUGGGCGGAGUAAAGAGAUGUCUGACUGGUACCCGAAAGAUGGUGAUGCUUGGGCAAAUUGAAGCCAGAGGAAACUCUGGUGGAGGAUUGUAGCGAUUCUGACGUGCAAAUCGAUCGUCAGACCUGAGUAUAGGGGCGAAAGACUAAUCGAACCAUC
rnacentral:rRNA from 1 species